rnacentral:ncRNA from 1 species
CGCAGAUAGGGCCGUGACGGUGCAUGGGAACGCGGUGGGGCAGUGAUCUGUCAAAGCCGCGGCUGCGCCCGCAACUGUGAGCGGCAAGCGUCUUGCCUUGAUUGCCACUGGCGCCGGAUUUGGUUGCUGGGAAGGCUGGCAGGAUCGCGUUGGAGCCGUGAGCCAGGAAACCUGCCGUCACAGGUCGCCCAUU